UACGUAGGGGCAAGCGUUGUCCGGAAUCAUUGGGCGUAAAGAGCGUGGUAGGCGGUCCGGUAAGUCGGCUGUGAAAGUCCAGGGCUCAACCCUGGGAUGCCGGUCGAUACUGCCGGACUAGAGUUCGGAAGAGGCGAGUGGAAUUCCCGGUGUAGCGGUGAAAUGCGCAGAUAUCAGGAAGAACACCCGUGGCGAAGGCGGCUCUCUGGGACGGUACUGACGCUGAGACGCGAAAGCGUGGGGAGCGAACAGGG
rnacentral:rRNA from 1 species